GAUGAAGAACGUAGCGAAAUGCGAUAAGUAAUGUGAAUUGCAGAAUUCAGUGAAUCAUCGAAUCUUUGAACGCACAUUGCGCCCGCCAGUAUUCUGGCGGGCAUGCCUGUUCGAGCGUCAUUUCAACCAUCAAGCCCUGCUUGCGUUGGGGUCCUGCGGCUGCCCGCAGGCCCUGAAAACCAGUGGCGGGCUCGCUAGUCACACCGAGCGCAGUAAUACAUCUCGCUUUGGGCGUGCGGCGGGUUCUUGCCGUUAAACACCCCCUUUUUACAAAGGUUGACCUCGGAUCAGGUAGGAAUACCCGCUGAACUUAAGCAUAUCAAUAAGCGGAGGA
rnacentral:misc_RNA from 1 species